rnacentral:lncRNA from 1 species
UUGGGGGCUUUCUCAGAACGGUCGUACCUCUCGGUUCCCUUUCCCGCCUCCUCCACCUUGCAGCCCCGGGAGUGCUAAAAGCGAUGAGACCGGGCAACUGCAGCCGCGCUGGGACGUGGAAAAGGCUACGCCCCCUACAGGAGCCCAAUUCUCAGGCUUCUCUUCCGCUUUUUUUCUCCCUCCCAUCUUUCAUUUAAUAGCUUGCUCUCUCUCUGCUCCCGCCUGAGACGUUUCUUGGAGGAAUAGGAGUUGGCAAACUUCUUCCGUGAAGGACCAGAUACUGCUGGACUGGCCGCUUGCUGGGAGCCUUGCCGCCCUUCUCCUGCUCCAGGCAAUGCUGCGCUUGUUUCUGGGGGCAGACUGCUGCUUUAUGGAAGGCCGGGGGUUGUCGCUCCUGGAGGAGAGAAAGCAGAGUGGUGUUGUGCCCACACUCUGUCUUCAAGCAUUUAAAGGUGUAUGUGUGUGUGUGUGUUUAACGAGGCAGUUGUGGGCAAACUGUUGCCCGUAUUACAUGAAAGAGGAGAGGAAUGGGCUACUUUCAAACAAGAGAGAUUUUGAUUAGACCUAAAGAAGAAAGCCUUAGCCUUCGAGUGAUGAACUACCACGCUGGGAAGCUGAGGUGAGGAUGCCAAAUCCCUGAGCUGAGCUGAUGCAUGGCGGGAUGAUGAGUCAGACUUAGAAGCACGUGGAUCUGAGUUCACAUCCUGGUGUACAGCCUCUCACUUGCUGGUUGGCCUUGGGCAUGUUGCUCAACCUCUCUGACCCUUAGUUCCCUAGCUCACUGGGUAGUUAGGGAACUAAGCUACCUUAGCGAUAACAGGAACUCAGGCUUCUUCUAGCUUGUUUCUUGGCCAUCCUCAGAAGAUACUUUCACCUCGUGGUCCAAGACGGCUGCUCUCACUCCAGCCACUACACAUGCAUUUGUGAAAACUAAUAACCAGAAACCUCAUUUACAAUGGAGUUGGGAGGCCAGAAGAGAGAACUCUCAUGCGUGUGCCAGCAAAGCACACAGGACAGAUCCCAACAGGAAGAGAGGGACCUGCAUCUCCAACAGGAAGUGAUACUACUUUCUGCCCCAGCAAGAAGGAAGGGAGAAAUUCCUCUUGCCUAGCAACAGCUCACCCAAUGAGAGACUGCCAUAACUCAGCCAAGGAAAAGCCACUGCACUCCCAGUCUCCUCCAGCGGACUCUGGGUUUACAGCAGCCCCUCCCAACUGCUUAAAGGAAUGUUUCUCUCCUUUGUUUCCUGGGACUUGCCUGUGGCUCUCUGUAGACUGCAUGUCCCGAAAUGUAAUUCUUUGCUGUUUUGCUAGUAGAAUAAAUGGCAGUUAAUUUGUUUCAGGUCAACAUAUUCUGGACCAGAAAUUGGCAAAGGAAGGUCCACAAGCCAAAUCCAGUCUUCCACCUGUUUUGGUCAGCAGACGGUAACACUGCCGACUUGCCAGGGAGGCUGUCAGGAAUGGGUGUAGCAGUGGUCGUAAAGGGCUAGCACAGUGUCUUACCCAGAGCAAAUGCUCAGAAAAUCUGAAAUGACAGACGAGAGCCCCUCAGCCCUGCGCAGGUCGGAUAUUUGCCUGAGUGAGGCCGCUGAAUCAGUGCCCACUGUCUGUGCAGGUCGGAUUGCACUGAGGACCAGGACAACUUCCACUGCAAAGGCCCUUCUGGAUCCCUUCCUUCACGUCUUCAUCUUCUGCAUCUCAGGUCAAAGCUUCCUCUGGAAACCUUCCCUGGCUUCCGCAGCCCAGUCAAAGCCCUCGCCACACACUCUCAGGACCCUGUGGACCUCACUUUGUCACCCUGGCCUCAGCAGCUGCUGUUUGUGGUUUCUGAGAUCAUUUGUUAACAUCUGUCUCGCCACCAUACUCUAAGUUCCAGAGGGCGGGGGCUAUGUCUGCUUUUCUCACCAUUGCAUUCUCAGUAGCCAGCAGCAUACCUGGCGCAGAGUAGAUGCUCAGUAAAUGUUUGUAAGGUGAGUGAAUAAAUGAAGGCUGUGUCC